rnacentral:rRNA from 1 species
AGAGUUUGAUCCUGGCUCAGAUUGAACGCUGGCGGCAGGCCUAACACAUGCAAGUCGAGCGGUAGCACAGGGAGCUUGCUCCUGGGUGACGAGCGGCGGACGGGUGAGUAAUGUCUGGGAAACUGCCUGAUGGAGGGGGAUAACUACUGGAAACGGUAGCUAAUACCGCAUAACGUCGCAAGACCAAAGAGGGGGACCUUCGGGCCUCUUGCCAUCGGAUGUGCCCAGAUGGGAUUAGCUAGUAGGUGGGGUAAUGGCUCACCUAGGCGACGAUCCCUAGCUGGUCUGAGAGGAUGACCAGCCACACUGGAACUGAGACACGGUCCAGACUCCUACGGGAGGCAGCAGUGGGGAAUAUUGCACAAUGGGCGCAAGCCUGAUGCAGCCAUGCCGCGUGUAUGAAGAAGGCCUUCGGGUUGUAAAGUACUUUCAGCGAGGAGGAAGGCAUUAAGGUUAAUAACCUUGGUGAUUGACGUUACUCGCAGAAGAAGCACCGGCUAACUCCGUGCCAGCAGCCGCGGUAAUNACGGAGGGUGCAAGCGUUAAUCGGAAUUACUGGGCGUAAAGCGCACGCAGGCGGUCUG